CACGGGGGGAGCAAGCGUUGUUCGGAAUCACUGGGCGUAAAGGGCGUGUAGGCGGUCAGGUAAGUGGAAUGUGAAAGCCCUCGGCUCACCCGAGGAUCUGCAUUCCAAACUGCCUGGCUUGAGUAUGGGAGAGGAUGAGGGAAUUCCUGGUGUAGCGGUGAAAUGCGUAGAUAUCAUAAGGAAGACCAGUGGCGAAGGCGGGUCUCUGGACAGUUCCUGACGCUGAGGCACGAAGGCCAGGGGAGCAAACGGG
rnacentral:rRNA from 1 species